rnacentral:rRNA from 1 species
UCGGCUUAGAGUUUGAUCAUGGCUCAGAUUGAACGCUGGCGGCAUGCUUUACACAUGCAAGUCGAACGGUAGGGGAGCUUGCUCCUGACGAGUGGCGAACGGGUGAGUAAUACAUCGGAACGUGCCAAUUAAUGGGGGAUAACUACUCGAAAGAGUGGCUAAUACCGCAUACGCUCUACGGAGGAAAGUGGUUUAUCACGUUAUUUGAGCGGCCGAUGUCUGAUUAGCUAGUUGGUGGGGUAAAGGCCUACCAAGGCGACGAUCAGUAGCGGGUCUGAGAGGAUGAUCCGCCACACUGGGACUGAGACACGGCCCAGACUCCUACGGGAGGCAGCAGUGGGGAAUUUUGGACAAUGGGCGCAAGCCUGAUCCAGCCAUGCCGCGUGUCUGAAGAAGGCCUUCGGGUUGUAAAGGACUUUUGUUUGGGAAGAAAACUUAUUGUAAUCGAUGAGUAUGACGGUACCAAAAGAAUAAGCACCGGCUAACUACGUGCCAGCAGCCGCGGUAAUACGUAGGGUGCGAGCGUUAAUCGGAAUUACUGGGCGUAAAGCGAGCGCAGGCGGUUUGUAAAGCCAGACGUGAAAUCCCCGGGCUCAACCUGGGAAUUGCGUUUGGAACUGGCAGACUAGAGUGUGUCAGAGGGGGGUAGAAUUCCGCGUGUAGCAGUGAAAUGCGUAGAGAUGUGGAGGAAUACCGAUGGCGAAGGCAGCCCCCUGGGAUACACUG